AAUGAACGUUGGUGGCGUGGAUUAGGCAUGCAAGUCGUGCGAGAAGGCCCCGCAAGGGGCCGGACAGCGGCGAACGGGGUAGUAAGGCGUCGGUACGUGCCCUGGGGUCCGGGAUAGCGGCGGGAAACUGCCGGUAAUACCGGAUGACCUCUCCGGAGCAAAGGUGUGAUUCCGCCCUUGGAGCGGCCGACGUGAUACCAGCUAGAUGGCGGGGUAACGGCCCACCAUGGCUAAGACGUCUAGGGGGUGUGAGAGCAUGGCCCCCACCACUGGGACUGCGACACUGCCCAGACACCUACGGGUGGCUGCAGUCGAGAAUCUUCGGCAAUGGGCGCAAGCCUGACCGAGCGACGCCACGUGCGGGAUGACGGCCCUCGGGUUGUAAACCGCUGUCGGGGGGGAUGAAGUCACGCGGGGCAAUCCCCGCGUGUUGACAGAGCCCCGGAGGAAGCGCGGGCUAAGUACGUGCCAGCAGCCGCAGUAACAC
rnacentral:rRNA from 1 species